rnacentral:rRNA from 1 species
UCCUGGCUUACGAUGAACGCUAGCGGCAGGCUUAACACAUGCAAGUCGAGGGGCAUCGGGAGUAGCAAUACUGCCGGCGACCGGCGCAAGGGUGCGUAACGCGUGAGCAACAUGCCCGUAUCAGGGGGAUAAUCCAUGGAAACGUGGUCUAAUACCCCAUAGUAAUUAUGUAAGGCAUCUUAUAUAAUUUAAAGCUUUGGUGGAUACGGAUUGGCUCGCGUGACAUUAGCUAGAUGGUAAGGUAACGGCUUACCAUGGCUACGAUGUCUAGGGGUUCUGAGAGGAAGGUCCCCCACACUGGAACUGAGACACGGUCCAGACUCCUACGGGAGGCAGCAGUGAGGAAUAUUGGACAAUGGAUGGAAAUCUGAUCCAGCCAUGCCGCGUGCCAGGAAGACGGCCCUAUGGGUUGUAAACUGCUUUUGUAUGGGAGCAAUAAGGGCUACGCGUAGUCCGAUGAGAGUACCAUACGAAUAAGCACCGGCUAACUCCGUGCCAGCCGCCGC